UUAAGUGACUAAGCGUACACGGUGGAUGCCUUGGCAGUCAGAGGCGAUGAAAGACGUAGUAACUUGCGAUAAGCCCAGAUUAGGUAGUAACAACCAUUUGAGUCUGGGAUUUCUGAAUGGGAAACCCACGUGCAUAAGCACGUAUCCUUACCUGAAUACAUAGGGUAAGGAGGCGAACCGGGGGAACUGAAACAUCUAAUACCCCGAGGAAAAGAAAUCAACCGAGAUUCCGAAAGUAGCGGCGAGCGAAAUUGGACUAGCCCUUAAGCUUUACACGCGUUAGACGAACGGUCUGGAAAGUCCGACGAUACAGGGUGAUAGUCCCGUAGUUGACGACGUGUGUUCAGUGAAAUCGAGUAGGGCGGGACACGUGAUAUCCUGUCUGAAUAUGGGGGACCAUCCUCCAAGGCUAAAUACUACUGACUGACCGAUAGUGAACCAGUACCGUGAGGGAAAGGCGAAAAGAACCCUGUGAGGGGAGUGAAAUAGAACCUGAAACCGUGUACGUACAAGCAGUAGGAGCAGGCUUUGUCCUGUGACUGCGUACCUUUUGUAUAAUGGGUCAGCGACUUAUAUUCAGUGGCAAGGUUAACCAUCUAGGGGAGCCGUAGGGAAACCGAGUCUUAACUGGGCGUUCAGUCUCUGGAUAUAGACCCGAAACCAGGUGAUCUAGCCAUGGGCAGGUUGAAGGUUGAGUAACAUCAACUGGAGGACCGAACCGACUAAUGUUGAAAAAUUAGCGGAUGACUUGUGGCUAGGGGUGAAAGGCCAAUCAAACCUGGAGAUAGCUGGUUCUCCCCGAAAGCUAUUUAGGUAGCGCCUCGGACGAAUACUACUGGGGGUAGAGCACUGUUAAGGCUAGGGGGUCAUCCCGACUUACCAACCCUUUGCAAACUCCGAAUACCAGUAAGUACUAUCCGGGAGACACACGGCGGGUGCUAACGUCCGUCGUGGAGAGGGAAACAACCCAGACCGCCAGCUAAGGUCCCAAAUUACUACUAAGUGGGAAACGAUGUGGGAAGGCUCAGACAGCCAGGAUGUUGGCUUAGAAGCAGCCAUCAUUUAAAGAAAGCGUAAUAGCUCACUGGUCGAGUCGGCCUGCGCGGAAGAUGUAACGGGGCUAAGUAGUAAACCGAAGCUGCGGCAAUGUGCUUUUGCACAUUGGGUAGGGGAGCGUUCUGUAAGCGGUUGAAGGUGUGUGGUAACGCAUGCUGGACGUAUCAGAAGUGCGAAUGCUGACAUGAGUAACGAUAAAGGGGGUGAAAAACCUCCUCGCCGGAAGACCAAGGGUUCCUGUCCAACGUUAAUCGGGGCAGGGUAAGUCGACCCCUAAGGCGAGGCCGAAAGGCGUAGUCGAUGGGAAACGGGUUAAUAUUCCCGUACUUCUUACAAUUGCGAUGGGGGGACGGAGAAGGCUAGGUGGGCCUGGCGACGGUUGUCCAGGUUCAAGUGCGUAGGCUUGAGAGUUAGGUAAAUCCGGCUCUUUUUAAGGCUGAGACACGACGUCGAGCACCUACGGGUGUGAAGUCAUUGAUGCCAUGCUUCCAGGAAAAGCCUCUAAGCUUCAGAUUGUAAGGAAUCGUACCCCAAACCGACACAGGUGGUCGGGUAGAGAAUACCAAGGCGCUUGAGAGAACUCGGGUGAAGGAACUAGGCAAAAUGGUACCGUAACUUCGGGAGAAGGUACGCUCUCGACGGUGAAGUCCCUCGCGGAUGGAGCUAUUGAGAGUCGCAGAUACCAGGUGGCUGCAACUGUUUAUUAAAAACACAGCACUGUGCAAAAUCGUAAGAUGACGUAUACGGUGUGACGCCUGCCCGGUGCCGGAAGGUUAAUUGAUGGGGUUAGACUUCGGUCGAAGCUCUUGAUCGAAGCCCCGGUAAACGGCGGCCGUAACUAUAACGGUCCUAAGGUAGCGAAAUUCCUUGUCGGGUAAGUUCCGACCUGCACGAAUGGCGUAAUGAUGGCCACGCUGUCUCCACCCGAGACUCAGUGAAAUUGAAAUCGCUGUGAAGAUGCAGUGUACCCGCGGCUAGACGGAAAGACCCCGUGAACCUUUACUACAGCUUGGCACUGAACAUUGACCCUACAUGUGUAGGAUAGGUGGGAGGCUUUGAAGCACGUACGCCAGUAUGUGUGGAGCCGUCCUUGAAAUACCACCCUUGUAGUGUUGAUGUUCUAACGUCGACCCCUUAUCGGGGUUGCGGACAGUGCCUGGUGGGUAGUUUGACUGGGGCGGUCUCCUCCCAAAGAGUAACGGAGGAGCACGAAGGUGGGCUAAUCACGGUUGGACAUCGUGAGGUUAGUGCAAUGGCAUAAGCCCGCUUGACUGCGAGAAUGACAAUUCGAGCAGGUGCGAAAGCAGGUCAUAGUGAUCCGGUGGUUCUGAAUGGAAGGGCCAUCGCUCAACGGAUAAAAGGUACUCCGGGGAUAACAGGCUGAUACCGCCCAAGAGUUCAUAUCGACGGCGGUGUUUGGCACCUCGAUGUCGGCUCAUCACAUCCUGGGGCUGAAGUCGGUCCCAAGGGUAUGGCUGUUCGCCAUUUAAAGUGGUACGCGAGCUGGGUUUAGAACGUCGUGAGACAGUUCGGUCCCUAUCUGCCGUGGGCGUUGGAAGAUUGAAGGGGGCUGCUCCUAGUACGAGAGGACCGGAGUGGACGAACCUCUGGUGUUCGGGUUGUGUCGCCAGACGCAUUGCCCGGUAGCUAAGUUCGGAAUCGAUAACCGCUGAAAGCAUCUAAGCGGGAAGCGAGCCCUGAGAUGAGUCUUCCCUGAUACUUUAAGUAUCCUAAAGGGUUGUCGGAGACUACGACGUUGAUAGGUCAGGUGUGUAAGUGCUGUGAGGCAUUGAGCUAACUGAUACUAAUUGCCCGUGAGGCUUAACCAU
rnacentral:rRNA from 1 species